GAGCUGAAGAGCCAAGAGUCUCAGAGUCUGCAGCAGCAGCGAGACUAGUACCUGGGUCACCUGCAGCAGUACAUGGCCACCUAUCAGCAGCUGACCUCUGAGAAGGAGGCGCUGCACAGGCAGUUACUGCUGCAGACCCAGUUCGUGGACCAGCUGCAGCAGCAGGAAGCUUGGGGCAAAGCGGUGGCUGAGAUGGCCGGCCAAAAGUUGCAGGAGACCCAGGGGAGGGAGUUGCUGAGGACGGGGCCCCGAGGGGGAUGACCUGGCAACCUCCGUGCCUUCUCACUCUGUUUCCCGUCCCCUUAGGAGCACCUAGAAGCUGCCAGCCAGCGGAACCAACAGCUAGAGACCCAGCUAAGCCUCGUGGCUCUCCCUGGAGAAGGUACAGGAGACCACUCAGAGGAAGAGGAGAGAGCCCCAGGAGGAAGGGGGGACUGUUAGCAGCAUAGGAUUGAGGGGUUGGAA
rnacentral:lncRNA from 1 species